rnacentral:rRNA from 1 species
AUUGAACGCUGGCGGCAGGCCUAACACAUGCAAGUCGGACGGUAGCACAGAGAGCUUGCUCUCGGGUGACGAGUGGCGGACGGGUGAGUAAUGUCUGGGGAUCUGCCCGAUAGAGGGGGAUAACCACUGGAAACGGUGGCUAAUACCGCAUAACGUCGCAAGACCAAAGAGGGGGACCUUCGGGCCUCUCACUAUCGGACGAACCCAGAUGGGAUUAGCUAGUAGGCGGGGUAAUGGCCCACCUAGGCGACGAUCCCUAGCUGGUCUGAGAGGAUGACCAGCCACACUGGAACUGAGACACGGUCCAGACUCCUACGGGAGGCAGCAGUGGGGAAUAUUGCACAAUGGGCGCAAGCCUGAUGCAGCCAUGCCGCGUGUAUGAAGAAGGCCUUCGGGUUGUAAAGUACUUUCAGCGGGGAGGAAGGCGAUGCGGUUAAUAACCGUGUCGAUUGACGUUACCCGCAGAAGAAGCACCGGCUAACUCCGUGCCAGCCGCCGCGGUAA